ACAACUUUCAGCAACGGAUCUCUUGGCUCUCGCAUCGAUGAAGAACGCAGCGAAAUGCGAUAAGUAAUGUGAAUUGCAGAAUUCAGUGAAUCAUCGAAUCUUUGAACGCACCUUGCACUCCUUGGUAUUCCGAGGAGUAUGCCUGUUUGAGUGUCAUUU
rnacentral:rRNA from 1 species